rnacentral:lncRNA from 1 species
GCAUCUGGACGUUGGCGACGAAGCAAAUCUGGUGGGCCCCCUUUGUUUGUGUCAAAUAAACAUGGAUCAACGACCAAAUCUUAUUUAGAAUCAGAACAAUCAGUGGACAAAUCGAAGAUCGGAAGACGAUUCGAAGGCAAAGUUGCGGUCGUUACAGCUUCAACUCAAGGUAUAGGUUUCAGUAUCGCUCACCGGUUAGGUUUAGAAGGUGCUUUAGUCGUUAUCUCCUCUCGUCGACAUGUUGCGUGUUCUACUGGAAUUGAUGUUUCCAAAGAUCAAACUGUUAAAAGACUUCCAAAGAGUGUUGGGUAUGUGCAAUCAAGCCACAAACUUUCUCGCUUUGGUCGUGAGAAGUUGAAUCUCAAAGAUAAAUAUAGCGGUAACGACGGUGUGAAGUUUGAAGAAACCAAGUCUGAGGACACCAACGUAGCGAGUGAUUCACUGGUUGAAAAACAUGAAAGUGCUGCAAAAGAAUCUAAUGGAGUUGCUUGUAAUACAUAUAACAACAGGUGUCUGACGUAUACGUUCAGCAGGCGGCAUAAGAAGGUUUUAUCAUCUAAAUCUGAGAACUAUUCUUCUCAUGGAAACAUUAAUAUCCUUGUCCGCGAAUCGUAGUUGGUGAAGGCAUUUAGUGCUUCAAAAUGUGAUAUGCAAGCAAUGGUGUGUGAAGUUUUUGAGGUGUUG